AUCAUUUUUAUCACUUGUGUAACAAUUUCCACUGGUAUAGCAAGUAUGAGUAAUAAUUAUUAAUACUUCAAUUGUGGAUUUCUGUUUUUGAGAUAAAAACCUAAGAAAACGGCGGAGCUAAGCGUUGGAAGCGGACGGUCGCAUGGCCGCAGAGCUCCGGGCUAGAAACUCAAACGAACGACAAUUCCGGCACCUGAAUCUAAAACCAAACUCUACUGAGGCGAUCCUGAGAGCCUCAGGGACCCAAUGGGCCGAAAAAACAAAAAGGCAAAACCCGAUAAACCCUGCCAGGGAAUGGACAUCGGAGAACUCUGGCGACAGGAACGCGGUGCAGCAGGAGCCAAGAUGGCGUCCCUGCAUGGUGGUUGCUCCGACUUCACAGACGGAUCAUCGGAUGACGAAGGGGGAGACCACUUGAUGGCCAUGCCAAAUCCUCCUGCAUCUAGGGAGCCACAGCACACGAAAGCCCCCACCCCCGUGACCAUGGAGGCUAUUGGGGAGCUCAUGGCAGAUCACCACAGGAAAAUUGCGGCCGACGUAGCCCUAAUUAGAGAAGACAUCAGGGGCCUUACAGUCAGGCUGGGAGCAGUGGAAGCCUCCACCACUAGCCACACUGCCCAGAUCGCAGACAUCCAAGCGACGAUCCGAGACCUGCAGCAGAAAUCCUGGCAGCACGAACAACAACUAGCUGCCCAGGAAGACAAGCAACGCCGCAACAAUCUAAAGCUCAGAGGAGUCUCGGACUCCGUACCAGAGGCCGAACUGCCACAUUUUGUCCGACGUCUCCUCACCGAGCUACUAACGCCAAAGGCAGCGAAAGCAAUCAACCUGGAGGGUCUGUUCCGCAUACCACGGCCAGGAAAGGCCCCACCCGCCGCCACAGGGGACUUAAUCGUUCAGUUCCAAUUAGCCAGGGACAAAAAGGCAAUCCAGGAGGCCACUAGAGGUCUGUCAACUUACCCCUUUGAGGGGAUGACCCUCUCUUUCUACAAGGACCUCUCAGGCGCGACACUAGCAUGGAGAAGAUCCAUGAAUACAUUUACGGCCCUACUGAGGCUCCAUCAAAUCCGAUACCGCUGGGGACCGGGCCGCUCACUUCUCAUCGACAAGGAAGGUACCAAACAUGUGGUCCGUGAUAUGCAGGAGGCCAAGGAUACACUGGGCUUACUUAACCUACCCACGGAUCCACCAUGCCCACCGACACAACCAACAGGCCUUAACCCCUCACUCAGAGGACACAAUGCGAAGGCCCCAGAGUUCACUCCCCGGAGGCCACAGAUGGACUCUUACGCCACGGCCAUCACCUGAGACGGACAUUCACCACCCCACAGGCAAAGCCACCAGAACGGGCAUCAGGGGACACAACCCGGACUCGCACACUCAAACCCCUCAACCAACGAUUCGGCCCAUAAUGCAGGAACUAUAACCCCUUUCAAUCGGAGACACAAGGACUUACAGCACAGAAGGCAUGGGAACUCUACUCAGCCGUUCUCACAACAUCCAGAGACGGACCUUCACAAGCAGGCCGAAAAGAAGGCAGAAGAUGCCGCGAAAAACCCCCAGUGACAGUUUGCGUUUUUCCUGCUACAGGAUAACCCUCAUUUGUGCAAACUAUAUUGUGUCCGGGCCUUUGCCUAAUUCUCAUUAUAGAGACACUCAAGCUAUCUACAGCGGCAAAAGUGCCGAUGCUUGAGCGCAG